GACGAACGCUGGCGGCGUGCUUAACACAUGCAAGUCGAACGGAAAGGCCCUGCUUUUGUGGGGUGCUCGAGUGGCGAACGGGUGAGUAACACGUGAGUAACCUGCCCUUGACUUUGGGAUAACUUCAGGAAACUGGGGCUAAUACCGGAUAGGAGCUCCUGCUGCAUGGUGGGGGUUGGAAAGUUUCGGCGGUUGGGGAUGGACUCGCGGCUUAUCAGCUUGUUGGUGGGGUAGUGGCUUACCAAGGCUUUGACGGGUAGCCGGCCUGAGAGGGUGACCGGCCACAUUGGGACUGGGAUACGGCCCAGACUCCUACGGGAGGUAGCAGUGGGGAAUAUUGCACAAUGGGCGGAAGCCUGAUGCAGCAACGCCGCGUGCUGGAUGACGGCCUUCGGGUUGUAAACCGCUUUCGCCUGUGACGAAGCGUGAGUGACGGUAAUGGGUAAAGAAGCACCGGCUAACUACGUG
rnacentral:rRNA from 1 species